rnacentral:rRNA from 1 species
AUUGAACGCUGGCGGCAUGCCUUACACAUGCAAGUCGAACGGCAGCAUGGGUGCUUGCACCUGAUGGCGAGUGGCGAACGGGUGAGUAAUGCAUCGGAACGUGCCCUGAAGUGGGGGAUAACGUAGCGAAAGUUACGCUAAUACCGCAUAUUCUGUGAGCAGGAAAGAGGGGGAUCGCAAGACCUCUUGCUUUGGGAGCGGCCGAUGUCGGAUUAGCUAGUUGGUGAGGUAAAGGCUCACCAAGGCGACGAUCCGUAGCGGGUCUGAGAGGAUGAUCCGCCACACUGGGACUGAGACACGGCCCAGACUCCUACGGGAGGCAGCAGUGGGGAAUUUUGGACAAUGGGCGCAAGCCUGAUCCAGCCAUGCCGCGUGAGUGAAGAAGGCCUCGGUGUAAGCUCUUCGUGGUAGAAUAGCUUCGGAUAAUACCGACGUAGAUGACGGUACCAGCAUAAGAAGCACCGCGUAACUACG